ACUAACUGCUGAAAAGACCAGCAUAUUUUUACUAUAAUAUAAACAUAAUUAUUUUUGAGUGAAACUAGCAAAAUAUUUUGUAUUCUAACCAAGGAAGAUGAGAAAUAAAGCUGAGCUUUUGGUCAUGUCUUUUAGUGAUGAAAUAAAGAUAAACAGAUGAUUAGAGAUCCAAUGAGAUCAGAAACAUUAUGAUGUUAGGAAAAUUCAUUAGAAAUUCAAGUCGAGAGUACAUGCGAAAAGUCAACUUGUCGCUCAGGAGUCUUGAAUGUAUUAACAUCUUGUGAGUAUUUCUGAUCAGUUCACCUGGUUAUGAAAAAAUCUGUUUGGAAAAGUUGCAUUUCAGAAAUAUUUAUAUGCAAACAUUAAUAGAUAAUAUUGGGCCACUAUGAUGAUCAGGUACGUUUGAUGAAUUCUGAAUCAAAUGCUAUUUGGACAAACGUGUGUCGUACUUCUCACUUGGCAUUGUUCGAGAAGCCGUUUCACUCAGAUAUAGAAAUCUCUAUAUUUUUUCUAUGUAAAUUUAUCUUUGUACCUCUUUUGGAAAAUUGUGAAAAUACAAUCGUGAUUUUUUUCUGCUGUUGUUUGAAGCAAAUUCUCCCGUUCACCAUGGUUCUGUGGUAAUGCGCUAAAUAGUUUGCGAUCAGUCAAUAAUAAACACAGAAGAAGAAGAAGAAGGUUAUGUGACGACUUCCGCUUGAGAACCCUGAAACGUGGAAGAAGUUCCGAGCCAUGAUACUUUCGGAUUUCUGACAAAGAAGGCGGCUAUCUCAGGAUUUUUUUGUGCUAUAUACAUUAUUUAUUUUGGUGCACCAUGAUCAUCGGUUUCUGUUUCAUCUGUGUAUUUGCAGUGCUGACAAACAAAGUGUGUCUGCAGGUCACAGUAGAAGCUGUUAUUGGUGGUUCAGUUGUCCUGCCAUGUUCUUCCACUGAACCUGAUCAUAAACUUCAAGAUAUUAAUGUGCACUGGAGACACAACAGUGAGAUUGUGUAUGAUAUAGUCAAUGGUAAUGAGUCACAGGGCCCUCGGUACAAGAACAGAGCUGAAAGCUUCCCUGAUGAGCAUCUGAGAGGAAACUUCUCCAUCAAACUCGUCAAUCUCCAAUACACUGAUGCAGGAAAGUUCGACUGCCACAUCACACCCUCAGAUGAAGUUCACAAAGUACAGCUGAGCAUUAAGGAAUCAACAGAAGAAAUCAAACCCACUGAACAAGAAAACCAAGGAAGACACCAUAUACUGCUCUUUGUACCUGUAUUAAUCGUCAUGCUUAUAAUAAUCUGUUUCAUAUGUCGCUGGAUCGUUUCCUUUAUGUAACAAAGAGUGGCAAUAUGAAAGAUAAAAAAUUCAUCCCAUGAUGAUCCAAUGAUUUAUUUCAUUUUAAAGCAAAAAAAAAAAUGCAUCCAUCCAUCAUAAAAAUUAAUCCACACGGCUCCAGGGGGUUAAUAAAGGCCUUCUGAAGUGAAGCGAUGGGUUUUUGUAAGAAAAAUAUCCAUAUUUAAAACUAUUAACUGUAAUAAUUAGCUUUCAGCAGACGCCCAUAUGCAUCGAUUUGCAGUGGAAGAGUGACCUCUGACCUAGCCCAUGACGCAAUGACGAACGCGGAAGCGCAGAGGAUAGAGAAAAACAAAACACCAGUCACGAAUUAGAAGUCUAAAAUGUGAUUUCGAUAUAAGAGCCAUUUCUAAGCUUACGAUACUCCUACAUCCUGCGUCAUACAUCUCGUCACGGGUUACUCAUUUGGUGCAAGUCGAUUUGCGCAGUAUACGUACGGUCGUCGGGCGGAAGCUAGUUAUUUGAAUUUAUAAUGUUUUAAAUAUGGUUAUUUUUCUUACAAAAACGCAUUAAGGAUUAUUUUUAUAAUGGAUGGAUGAAUUUUUUGGGGCUUCAAAAACUGCCUAGGAUGGCUUGAGGGUGAGUAAAUCAUGGGAUAAUUUUCAUUUUUGGGUGAACUAUCCUCCCUUUAACAAGUGAGAGUGUUCACAUCGGAAUCACAAGCAGAACGUCAUGAUUAAUCGCAUUUUCUGCCGCUGAUCAUGCCUCACUCUUGCUUGCAGUGUGAAUGUUACGAUACAAGCUCCUGCACCGGAUCUCCCGGGCCGCCAGAGGGAGCCCUCCCCCGAGUACUAGUUUCCAUCUGGACUACAUUUCCCACACUGACAUACCUGGGACUGAUCGCGCGCACACCUGACGGCUAUCUUCUCAUUAUCCAUGCACUAUAAAGCACACGCUCACACUCCGCACUUUGCGAAGUAUUGAUCAGCCACGGUUAUCAUUUCUGAGCGAUUAUUUCUGAUUGUUUGCCUGUUAUCGACUGGACUGUUAUUCUGGACUGUGAUUCUUGCUGCCUGCCUCUUUACUGCCUGCCAUUAUUUAUCCCUGUUUGCCGCCUGCCUCGACCCACUGCCUGUUACCUGGUUCAUGAUUCCUGUAUUGCCCUUGUUGUUGAAUAAACUGCAAAUGGAUCAACACACUUCUGAGUCGUUACAGUGAACCAAGCAUUACACAGUUUAGUGUUAUAUUGCUGUUCUAUAAUAAAUUGACAGAAAAUAA